rnacentral:lncRNA from 1 species
AGUUUAGGUAUGUAUCAUUAAUGCUGUUAAACGUUAUACCAAGACGUGCAAAUAUGUCCUUUUGAGUUUUGACUUAGUCCAAAUGUAGCCUUUGUUUAUCUUUGAUUUUUUUUUGUAAAGUUUCCCUUUGUUUUGGGCUUUGUCACCGGAAAAACUUAGUUUUUGCCGGAUUUGUCUCCAGGGUUAUGUUUCAUACCACCGGCUUCGUGUAUCAAAAACGUAUCCCACCCUUGUAUCUUUGAAGUUAAUCUAAUCUUACUGUAAAAAAAAGAAGAGUUUUGACUUAGUCGUGGUUACUAUGAAUACGAACCGGGCAAGCGAGUGUGUCUAUCCAAAAUCACAACUACUAUAAGUACCAUGUCAACUAAAAUUUUAAUAACCAUUAAACCAUCCGGUCGUACAUAACUAUUAUCUAGACUUAUGUCAAAAAAAAAAACCAUAUCUAGACUUCGCACUCACAUCAGCUGGAGUUUGUUUCCAAGGAAUCUAAUAAAACUGGAAAACAAAGUAGAGUAAAAUGGCUGCAAAAUAUGUAAAAAAGAAAAACCAAUCAUACACUUCAUCAUACAUUCUUUUUUUUCUCCUUUUGUAAAAGUGGAUUCGUCAAAUAGUAUUCUAGAUAAAUAAAUAAAAUUGAAACAUAUAUUUAUUUUGUGUUAACUAUGAAGAGUUUGAGCCGAUUUAAUUUCCCAGAUCUGGAACUUGCGUACGUUAAUAGAUAUAGAGACAUGGUAUAUUCACUUUUUCAUUAAAUUUCAAAUUAGGAAUAUCAAUACAUACGUUUAAACGUAAUUUUCAUGUGUUCAUUUUUAAACUUAUUCUCAACAUUUUUAAAAUGAAACUCGUUAGAAUAAAAGUACAAAGAGGUAAAAAGAUAAAAAUACAUUCUAACCAACUAUUAUUAUUAUUUUUCUCUCAGCGGAUCACAUUCUUGCAACUAUUCAAAUUAGACAAAAAUACAUAGUUCUCCAACUUUUCUUUGGACAUAAAUUUCCAACAAAUUAGCAAGAAGAAAAAAUUGACAUACAAUUGCAACUAGUGUAGGUAUUACAGUUAAGCAACGGUACAUAUUAGGCAACUAAACUGGACUCACCACACUUUCCUGACUCUCU